GACGAACGCUGGCGGCGUGCUUAACACAUGCAAGUCGAACGCUGAAGCACCAGCUUGCUGGUGUGGAUGAGUGGCGAACGGGUGAGUAAUACGUGAGUAACCUGCCCUUGACUCUGGGAUAAGCCCGGGAAACUGGGUCUAAUACUGGAUGCUACAUGUCACCGCAUGGUGGUGUGUGGAAAGGGUUUACUGGUCUUGGAUGGGCUCACGGCCUAUCAGCUUAUUGGUGAGGUAAUGGCUCACCAAGGCGACGACGGGUAGCCGGCCUGAGAGGGUGACCGGCCACACUGGGACUGAGACACGGCCCAGACUCCUACGGGAGGCAGCAGUGGGGAAUAUUGCACAAUGGGCGAAAGCCUGAUGCAGCGACGCCGCGUGAGGGAUGACGGCCUUCGGGUUGUAAACCUCUUUCAGCAGGGAAGAAGCCACAAGUGACGGUACCUGCAGAAGAAGCGCCGGCUAACUACGUG
rnacentral:rRNA from 1 species